ACCUGUAGUAAUGACCUUUUGCUGAAUACCAAUCGCCAUGAAAAAGGGUUCCUUGGUUCCCCCCCCCCUCCCAUGAACUGAACCGACAUCAACUAUAUUGGAUGCUGAGAAAUACUCACUACAGAUGAUCAACAGACUGGAAAUACAAGUAUAGUUCGGUUUCUUAAUUAUAAUACUAAAAUUGCAAAAAAUGACAUGAUAUUCUCUAAUCGUUUUCUUCUAGAAAGCAGAUUCCCAUAAGCUAAUAAGGAUGCAAAUCAUUAUUACCUGGAAACGUUACAUCCGUUUUGAUAGACAUUUCCAGCUACUUCUCAACGUAAGUAUCUGUGAAAUCGGAGCGCUUGCCAUUCUGAAAUCAACUUCUGCGAAUGCAACAGUAGAAUAAAUGAAUCGCCUGAAAAUGGAGCCAGCAUGCGAAAGCCUUCUGAAUGUCGUCUUCAUCAGGAAAAUGUUGCCUGGCUAGGAAGGAACCAUUUGAAGUGCUAAAACAGGACAAGAGAAUUUUCUAGGAAGCAAACCAUUACUACUUGAAACCAUCCAUCAAAACAGAAGCAGAAUUUCCAAUUUAUCAACGUAAUAAGACUUGGUUAGUGUUACUGAUAUCCUUCAGAAUAAUUGAGGUUGGAUUAGAUUUUGAUGCAUAGUAAUCUUUUGUUCAAUAAAGGGUCCCCAUUUACACUAAAAGUGAGAUUGCUGUCUCCGUUACCACACUUAUUAUGAACCGACAUCUAUUGCGAUGUAUGUUGUGAAAUGCUCACUACAGAUGACAUUGAAAUGUUGGAAAAUCAAGUAUCCUUUCGUUUCUUAUUUAUAAUAUUGAAAUCACAAAGAUGACAUUAUCUAACCAUUUUAUUUGAUUUUCCAGAAAACAUUGAACUGCAAGGAGGCAAACCAUAAUUACUCGUCAACAUCUAUUAAAACGGAUGCAGAAUUUCUAGCUAUUUCUGAAAAUAGAAAAGCGGAGGAACUGAAGCGCGUGCCAUCCCGAGAUCAUCUUUCGUGAGUAGAGGGACCGAACAAAUCAAUCGCCAGAGCAUGGAAUCAACAUGCGACAGCCUUUUGCAUGUCUCCUCGUCACAAGUAAAAUGUUGCCAGGCCAGAAACCUUUUUAAAGUGCAGAAAUGGAACAAGAAAUAUUUCCAGCGACUACUUCAGUUUCUGACAAAUUCUCUACCAGCAAUCUGGGUGAUCGAGAAACUUUUCUCAGAAUGGUAUCGUAGAGAUAACGAUGUAGAAAAAGUUGGAUACCUACUGCUUAUAUUAAAUGUCUUUUUCUGAAUCAAGACAUGUUAUCCAUCCAUGAAGUAAUAAGGGUUUCGUGAUUCCAUAUAGCUUUGGAAUUGACGCCAUUUAUGCUGCAUAUGAAAACAAGUUUUCUGAAGACAUGCGGAGGCAAACUACAUAUAAUUUAUGUGGAAGGUUCUAUCAAGACAGAAGCGGGCUUUCCAGCUAUUUCUCAACACAAAGUUACCUGAAUGAUUCUGAAGCGAUAUCGGCAUGUUGCAAGAAUUUCGGCGUAUCACUCAUCACCAGAAGAUACUGCUUUCUUGGUUCCACACAUGCUCUGAACUGACAGCAACUAAGCUGGAUGCUAUGAAAUACUCUCUACUAAUAUCAAAACAUUG